rfam:Schistosoma mansoni strain Puerto Rico chromosome 6, complete genome
GCACCGCUGAUGAGUCCCACAAUAGGACGAAACGGCCGUCCAAUGC